AUUGCCAGGAGUCUUCUAACCAGUCCCAGAUGGAACAGACCAGAAGCUUGUGGAUAAGUUAGUAGCCUGAUGAUGGCAUGAUGAGCAGAGUUUCACAGGGCAUAACACUAGGAUUGAACAUAGACGGUGCUGAAAGUGGAAUGGUUCAAAUCUUCCAAGGAUGUCCAUCAAUAUUAAGAAGAGUCUACAAAAGGUUUCCAUUCCUUUAACACUGGAGCAGCAAUGAUAUUGGGAUGGUCCACCUCUCUCCUAAACAAACUGUACACCCCAGAGGAUAAUUUGCCUCCAUGCUUCAUGAAGUAUUUCACAAAGAAAAUGAAGGUCAACUGGAACCACAGGAAUGUGGGCAGCACAAGUGACACAAGUAAAUGGCCAGAAUGGAUCUCCAUUUUCAAUGCCACAGAAUUACCACAACCCUCAUGACUUCAGUUCUGAGUCAUCACUGCAAUCCUGGAUGAAUGGGGCCAGAACUGGCUGUGGAGAGGUCAUGUGAAGGAGAAGGAGAAACACCUGCAGGUGUUAGAGACUUCCGCCAAGUCCAGGGCUGCUGCUAGUGAGCCUCACUUGGGAACGUGCAGAGAGAUAAGAGAGAGAACACAUUGAGUCCAUGAUGCAAAUUCCCAGAAGGUUCCAUUAUUUAAAAGAGUGUCAAAGCAUUCCCAAUAACUGAAAUGGUAUAGGAGGCAACUGAUCAAAUCUUGUAAAAUAUGUGGUCUUCAUCCAAUGUCUUUAUUGAUGUCCCACCACCAAUAAAGCAACUGCAUGAAAACAUUCCUCAACCAUACAUAGGGAUCCCUGCCAUUGGCAAUUUGGCCCUUCAGAUCUGAGAUGCAGGCUUGCACCUGAGACCCAGUCAAGUGGCUCCUAAUUCCCAGGGUCUAUAUGUCAGGAUCACCAUGCCCUGAGUGCAAAGGUACCAACACAAAAAUCUGAAGAGGGGCAGAUGGAGCCUGUGCUACUUUGAAGUCCCUCACUAACCUGAAGGUAGAAGUCAAUGUCUCUGGACUGUGUUUACAGGGUGUCCUGAUCUCAGGCUAUCAUUGACUGUCCUGGGUUUCAUACUCUUCCUUUAAACAUUGCAUUUGCCUAAUUUGGAUUCCAGUAAGAAAACUGUGGUCAUGCAUAUAUCAUUUGAAAAUGUAUAAUUUUU